UACGGGGGAGCAAGCGUUGUUCGGAUUUACUGGGCGUAAAGGGCGCGUAGGCGGCCACCGCAAGUCGACUGUGAAAUCUCCGGCUUGAACUCGAAAGGUCAGCCGAUACUGCGGGGCUAGAGUGCAGAAGGGGCAACUGGAAUUCUCGGUGUAGCGGUGAAAUGCGUAGAUAUCGAGAGGAACACCUGCGGCGAAGGCGGGUUGCUGGGCUGACACUGACGCUGAGGCGCGAAAGCCAGGGGAGCGAACGGG
rnacentral:rRNA from 1 species